GCACAACAUGAACACUUUCUUGUCACUUUUUUUGCUAACUCUCACACUGCUUCUUAUGAGAAGUGUCAAUAUACAUGGUCUUCAAGUGGAAGGCGCGAGGGUGGUAUUUACCAAUCAUGGAGCAGAUACUUUGCAGAUUGCAGGUUCAAGAUAUCCAGACUGUAUGCAUGCAUGUGGCUCAUGUUCACCUUGCCGCUUAGUGAGGGUUCGGUUCAUUUGUUCAGUUGGACCAGCCGAAGCCGAGACUUGUCCAGUGGCUUAUAAGUGCAUGUGUAGUAACAGAACUUAUCAUGUACCAUAAACAAAAUGCCAAAUAAAUUUUAAUGUAAUAGUAAUGGCAAGUUGGCAACCUCUAUAUAUGAGACAACACAGGUUACAAAAUGAAAUAGUCUGUCUAAACAAAUUUUUAUGUA